GUUACUAUCUCACUCUGAGGCACGGAGGAGUGUCAGAGGUGACCUGCUGCACAUUCCUGGUGGAUAUGUCAAUCUGCGGAGGAGUGUUCCAUCGUUGUGGAGUUGGAGGUCGAACUUGUCCUUGUUGAACAUGACAAACAUUUAGCUGACAUACAUGGAACUGAAGUAAUUAAAUAAGUCCUCCAUCCCCUCUGGCCAUGGCUGCCACAGAUGAGCCAUGCCAUCUUGCAACUUCUGGAAACAAGACUGGCUCACCACUGGUACCGAUCAGUCUUCCUCAGUGUCUGGAUCUUUCUACAUGUAUUCUGGGUUAGGUGGCAGAAGCAGCUCAGUGUUGUUACUUGCGGUCAAAGCACAGGGACCAUGGUUUGAAUAACGUCACUUAGGAAUGUGUUCACAAAUGUCAUAUCUUUGUAUUUUUUUAAAUAAACAACUGUGAGCAUUUGUCUCUUACUUCAUUACAGCUGUGAGCUUAUGCAAGUACACCGCCUGAAUAUAACCAUGAAUAUAACGAAAGAAAACUUGUAGUUUUUGUGAUACUUGGUUUUAGGAAAAGGACUAAGGGACUUGGUCCCUCAUUCUGUUGUUUUCGUUACUAAGAUUCAUUGUGUUUGUCCUCACAUGAUUGUUUUUGUACUUUAAUUCAAACAUUCAUCACUGCCUUUCGAUUCCCCCCAGCACUCCCCUCUCACAUGGAUUUCAUCUGUUUCCACCAGCAUUUGUUUUUUUUUUUUUCCGUCCGAUUAAUCACACAUUGUGUCGACAGGUGUCUGCCUCAAA